UCAGGACGAACGCUGGCGGCGUGCUUAACACAUGCAAGUCGAGCGGUAAGGCCUUUCGGGGUACACGAGCGGCGAACGGGUGAGUAACACGUGGGUGAUCUGCCCUGCACUUCGGGAUAAGCCUGGGAAACUGGGUCUAAUACCGGAUAUGACCUCCUAUCGCAUGGUGGGUGGUGGAAAGAUUUAUCGGUGCAGGAUGGGCCCGCGGCCUAUCAGCUUGUUGGUGGGGUAAUGGCCUACCAAGGCGACGACGGGUAGCCGACCUGAGAGGGUGACCGGCCACACUGGGACUGAGACACGGCCCAGACUCCUACGGGAGGCAGCAGUGGGGAAUAUUGCACAAUGGGCGAAAGCCUGAUGCAGCGACGCCGCGUGAGGGAUGACGGCCUUCGGGUUGUAAACCUCUUUCAGCAGGGACGAAGCGCAAGUGACGGUACCUGCAGAAGAAGCACCGGCUAACUACGUGCCAGCAGCCGCGGUAAUACGUAGGGUGCAAGCGUUGUCCGGAAUUACUGGGCGUAAAGAGUUCGUAGGCGGUUUGUCGCGUCGUUUGUGAAAACCAGCAGCUCAACUGCUGGCUUGCAGGCGAUACGGGCAGACUUGAGUACUGCAGGGGAGACUGGAAUUCCUGGUGUAGCGGUGAAAUGCGCAGAUAUCAGGAGGAACACCGGUGGCGAAGGCGGGUCUCUGGGCAGUAACUGAC
rnacentral:rRNA from 1 species